UUUUAGAAAUUAAUUUAAAGUCUAACCUGCCCACUGAAUAAUUUUAAAUGGCCGCAGUAUCCUAACUGUGCAAAGGUAGCAUAAUCAUUAGUCUUUUAAUUGAAGGCUGGAAUGAAUGGUUGGAUGAAAUAUUAACUGUUUCAUAAAAAUUUAUAAUAGAAUUUUAUUUUUUAGUCAAAAAGCUAAAAUGUUAUUAAAAGACGAGAAGACCCUAUAAAUCUUUAUAUUUAGAUAAUUUUAAUUAUUUAGAUAAAUUAAAUUAUAAUUAUUUUAAAUAUUUUAUUGGGGUGAUAUUAAAAUUUAAUAAACUUUUAAUUUAUAAUUAACAUAAAUUAAUGAAUUAUUGAUCCAUUUAUUAUGAUUAAAAAAUUAAGUUACUUUAGGGAUAACAGCGUAAUUUUUUUAGAGAGUUCAUAUUGAUAAAAA
rnacentral:rRNA from 1 species